CUUAGUGAAAUCUCUAAAAGAACUUAUAUUUAAAAAUGAAGAGAGUAUGUGUUAAUAAUAGACUGUACUAGUACUAGUGGCCAUUUUCCAUGCGGAGGAUUUGAAGUACAGCCCGCGAAACAGUGGAUCUCCUCGCUGUCAUUCUCUGAUCCUAAAACCCAAAGAUUCCCGGCUCCAACGCCAACCAUGCAUGCACCUGACCUGCCCGAGCACGUGGAAACCAUCUCUUCAUCUCAUGCACCGACGCUACACUUCCCCCUACCGACCGCCGGCCAAUCAUC
rnacentral:lncRNA from 1 species